UUAUUAGUUUAUAUAUAUAUAUAUAUAUAUAAAAGCAAAACGAAGAAGACGAGGAAGAGGUGGAUACGGUCACCGCGUCGGAGCUCAUGGCCGCGGCGGCGGAGGACACCGCGCGCACAGCCUCGGGGGGCGGCGCCGGCGCCGGAGGAGGAGGAGGUGGAUCACUGGGGAAUCACCCGACCCCUCCUCCUCCUCCUCCUCCUUCCCCGCUGCGCCCCCGCUCCAAAUCGCGCCUCCACAACUUCCGCUUCCCCACCUCCAGCUGGGGCGCCCACCGCAUCCUCCGCUGCGCCAAGAUCGAUCGCUCCUCCUCCUCCGCCGCCGCUGCCGAUCCCCCGACCCCGCUGCCGCCGGUGCCGAAGCGGGACCUCUCGCCCUCGCCCUCGCCCUCGUCCUCCUCCCCCUCGCCGGACGCCAAGCGCCGGAGCCUUAAACAGUCGCCGUCUCCGUCGCCGGCGGCGGCGGAGGAGGACUCGUCCUCAGCCGCAGCGGCGGCGGCGGCUGGGGCGGCGCGGCCGUGGAAUCUGCGGAUGAGGAGGGCGGCGUGCACGGCCCCCGCCCCCGCCCCCGCCCCCGCCGCCGCUCCGGCUCCGACGGCGGACGCGAAGGGGGAGGGGGGCGGAGCGGAGACGACGCGGCGGCCGUUCUCGGCGUCGCUGUCGAAGGAGGAGAUCGAGAUCGACUUCUUGCAGCUGCGGGGCUCGAAGCCCCCGCGCCGGCCCAAGAAGCGGCCCCGCAACGUCCAGCGGGUUCUCGACUUGCUCGUCCCCGGUAGCUCUUUGACAGAGAUAACGAAGGAAUUAUACGGAUGAUCGAGGAGUUAGCUGGUGUGAUCUCACUAGAUGGUUUUUCGUGGUGAAAAGUAUCUACUUUUGAGUUGCUGACUACUGUAGUAGGGCUCGGAAAAAUGCAAGUGUUGUUGUGCACUUCAAUCUUUGGCUUUGGGCGAAAACAAUGGGGGACACGGCGGUGGUGUCGACGGCUCGGGUGGUGACGAUAGCGGCGUGAUAGCGAUGACGUCUUGCUUAGGAGGCUCGGGUGGUGGGCGCAGUGGUGGCGGCGGUGAUGGCGGCGGUGGUGGCGGUGGCGGUGGCUUCAGCGACGACGGUGGCGGGCGCGGGCGCGGUCGGCUUGGGCGGCUUCGAAUCGCGUUGGCAACAACUCAGGCGAGGCAGCAGACGGCACCGGCUUGGGCAGCUUCGGGCGGCAUCGGUAGUGACUUUGGUGACAGUGGUGGGGGACGUGUCGGCAACAGCGAACAGAAAAGGGAAGAGCACAAUCACUUGUUUUAAUUUAAUUUUUUUGUUUUUAUUUUGUUUACUUUCUUUCUCUUAUACCUUCCUCUCCUUCUACUUUCUUCUUCUACUUCCUCCCCCCCUCUCUCUCUCUUUCUCUCUCUCUCUCUCUUUUACUUCUUCCUCACAGAGUCACAGUGCAAUUUUUUUUGUUUUGUUCACACUACAAUCUGUGGCAUUUGCUUGAUGUAGCCGAAGUCUCCUUUGUACUAUCCGUAGAUCCUACUCUCCCUUUCUUGAUUGCUCUAUUUAUAGAGCCUCCAAUGGUUGGCUCUUCAUGAA